rnacentral:lncRNA from 1 species
CUUAGGGCCACACCCAUGGCAUAUGGAGGUUCCCAGGCUAGGGUCAGAUCGGAACUACAGCUGCCAGUCUAUACCGAAGCCACAGCCAUGUCAGAUCCAAGCCGUGUCUGUGACCUACACCACUGCUCACAGCAAUGCCAGAUCCUUCACCCACUGAGCGAGGCCCGGGAUUGAACCCGCAACCUCAUGGUUUCUAGUCAGAUUUAAGGCUGGAUUCCACGAAGCUGGAGCCGUGGGUUCUAACUUCUGGGUGCAGAAACCCCUGGGGGCAGCUCGGAGGAGGAGGAGCGCUGGGGUGGGGGGAAGCUGUGUUUAACAGUCUUCCUGAACAGCCCCCACAGGCCAGAACCUCGAGGGCAGAGCAUUCAGGUGGGGGAAUAACCUGGAUGGCAGUGAAUGUCACAUGAGCACCUGCUCAGCACCGGGCACUGUUCCCGGCUGCAGCCAGACAUGCCCGAGCGCCCAUGCGGAGCUGUGACCCUUCCCAGAAGUUACCUUUAAAAAAAAAAAAAAAUGAAGUAUAGUUGAUUUACAAAUGUUGUGUUAAUUUCUGCUGUACCGCAAAGUGAUUCAAUUACGUAUACAUACCUAUAUAUAUAUACAUAUUUAAGAAUAUUGAUUUCCAUGACGGUUUAUCACAGGCUACUGAAUAUAGCUCCGUGCUAUACAGUAGGACCUCGUUGUGAACCCAUUCUGUGUAUAAUCGUUUGCAUCUGCUAACCUCAAACUCCCAACCCAUCUCCCCAACCCCUCAGCAACCACAAGUCUGUGCUCUAGGUCUGUUCUCUACAUCUGUGAGGCUCUUUCUAUUUCAUAGAUGGGUUCAUUUAUGUUAUUAUUUUCUCUCUUUUUUGGCCGAGCCCGUGGCAUGUGGAGGUUCCCAGGCCAGGGAUCGAACCCAAGACACAGGACAGGUGCAGCCUGUACCACAGCUGUGGCCACACUGGAUCCUUAACCUAGUACACCACACGAGAGCUUCCAGUUCAUCUGUGUCAUGUUUUAGAUUCCACGUAUAAGUGGCAUCGCAUGGUAUUUGUCUUUCUCUUUCCGGCUUACUUAGUAUGACAAUCUCUAGUUCCAUCCAUGUUGCGGCAAAUGGCAUUAUUCUUUUUAAUGGCUGAGUAGUAUUCCACUGUGUAUAUAUACCACGUCGAUUUAUCUAUCCAUUCAUCGGUCCAUGGACAUUUAGGUUGUUUCCAUGUCUUGGCUAUUGUGCAUAGUGCUGCUAUGUACACGGGAGUUGCGUGUAUCUUUUUGAAUUAGAGUUUGGUCUGACUAUAUGCCCAGGAGUGGCACUGCUGAAUCAUAUGGCAACUCCAUUUUUAGUUUUUUGAGAAACUUCCAGACCGUUCUCCAUAGCGGCUGCACCAACUUGCAUGCCCGUCCCGUGGAAGGGGGCUCGCCUUUCCCCCACACCCUCUGGGAGAAGUUACUCAACCUCUCUGGGCCUCGCAGUAUCUUCCCCUGUGAAAUGGGACCCCUACCGCCAGCACCCACCUACUGCAGAGGGUACCUAAGGAGACACAAGGAGCCAGGGGCCAAGUUCAUGGUAUGCCCCGUGGCUGUCCUGCCCAUCCCAUCAGGCCAGGCCACCUCAGCACCCCCGGGAACAGCUAAGGACAGACAUGGCCCCAACGGAAGUCUUUUUACACUUAUGAAAUCCCGCAAGCCAUUGCAAGUGAAGCUUCUGAUACAUCGGGCAGGAAACGAAAAGUUACGGGUCUAGUGUCACCAGAAAUCACCCACUUGUGAACACACAUAUAGUAAGUCAUUAGCGCAACGCCAUCUGCAGAGAACGCCACCCGGAGACGCAAGCCGCGUACAGUUCGGCUCUGAAUAACACCAUUCGCGGCCAGAAUAAGACGAAGCUCUGGGCCAAAAUUAAGUCUCGGCUGAUGGUGAGAAUUCUUACACCCACAGAUGACUCUGGUAAACUGGUUCCUGUCCAAUCUCAAAACAAAAAUAAAUCAGGAAAGAAAAAACCAAUUGAGCCCCAAUGUUACCAAAAUAAGUAAUAUGAAUAUAAUAGCCCUUUAAUGAACACGAGCGCAUAUAAUCCCCACGACAGCAAUCCAGGUGACCACAUUUGCAUGUGGAAAAAACGGGGCCUCGGAGCAGACAAGGGACUGACCGGCUUGGGGCUCACGGGGCCCGGAGGCGAAGAGCCAGGCUCUAAGCCACCAGAGCCAGAGCGUGGGCUCAAGAGAAGCAACUGGCCCAGUCCCCCCCACUCUCCGCCACCUCACCCCCAGGAGCUGCCUGGAGCUGCUUUACACAUGUUGGGGUGACAGAACUCCCGUGCACAAAAUGCACAUUUUGAAGUUCUGUCUCACGUGAUCUAGAACAAUAGCAAGGAUUCCUCUAGCCCUUGGCCGUGGCUGCCAACCCCAGGAGGAGUGGCAAAGGCGAAGCUGGCUUCUGUGGGGAUAUUGGAGACAGGAGCCCCUCUUCGUGCUGCACGGGGCCCUGGGCGACAGAGAAGCUGGGCCCCUGCUCAUGCACUGGCCCGGCUCACCUCCCAGGAGGGUGCUGCCGUGGGGAGGCCCUCGCCCUCUGUCCCUUUAAGAUGUGGGGUCCACGCACUGAGGCAGGAGUCAGGCCACCCAGACAGAGAGCUCACUCCAGCCUGGAAAGGAGGGCUUCCCAGAGGAGCCAACGGCUGGGGCUGAGCCAAAGGGACAGCAAAGACAAACAGCCAGAGGCCAGAGGGGUGCACUCGGAGGACGGCGAUGGUCCAGCCCAGCUGGGAGCACAGCGUGGAUGGGGGCGAGAGGCCACGGGAGCCAGUGGCCCAGACUGGAAGCCUGGAGCAUCUGUCAGAACGCCUCGGCCAAUUUCACAGGGCGGAGGGUGAGGGGCAGGGGGGCGGCAGGUGCUUUCUAAAAGACAGAGUGUGACACGGCCCCAGUUCUCCCCAAAGGGAGAAACCGCACGUCUCCUAAAUGUAUCAGCGCUGCUGCUAAGAAGGAGUCC